GCGUCGGUGGUGUGACGGUUAGCAUACGCUCCCGGAAAGAGUGAAAUCUGCGUUCGAAUCCCGGUUGAUGCA